rnacentral:rRNA from 1 species
UACCAGCACCCCGAGUGGUCAGGACGAUUAUUGGGCCUAAAGCAUCCGUAGCCGGUCCUACAAGUCUUCCGUUAAAUCCACCUGCUUAACAGAUGGGCUGCGGAAGAUACUAUAGGGCUAGGAGGCGGGAGAGGCAAGCGGUACUCAGUGGGUAGGGGUAAAAUCCUCUGAUCCAUUGAAGACCACCAGUGGCGAAGGCGGCUUGCCAGAACGCGCUCGACGGUGAGGGAUGAAAGCUGGGGGAGCAAACCGG